rnacentral:sRNA from 1 species
CGCACCGCACGCAGCCGAGCAGCGCCACAGCCGCCGCCGCCGUCGCAGCCGCAGUCGCCGCAGCUAGGCCCUCGGCCGUCGCAGGGAGCUCCGCAGCGACGUGGACCAAGGUGUAUGUGGAAUUUGAUGAUCUUGAAUGGGAUAAACGAGAGUGGGUUAAAGUUUAUGAAGAUUUUUCAACUUUCUUGGUGGAAUACCACUUAAUCUGGGCCAAAAGGAAUGACCCUAGCCAGACUCAGGGAUCAAAGAGCAAACAGAUUCAGUGGCCUGCAUUGACUUUCAAACCUCUGGUUGAAAGAAAUAUACCCAGUUCAGUCACUGCAGUAGAAUUCCUUGUAGAUAAGCAACUGGAUUUUUUAACUGAAGAUAGUGCCUUUCAGCCCUACCAGGACGACAUAGACAGCCUAAACCCAGUUCUCAGGGACAACCCGCAGCUUCAUGAGGAAGUGAAAGUCUGGGUAAAGGAACAAAAGGUUCAGGAGAUUUUUAUGCAAGG